UGGAGGUGUCUGGGUCACAGAGGAGGCAGGGGCUGCUGGGAUUGGAGUCGCCUUCUUUGAAACACAUCCCGUCGACGUUGCACGUCUUCUCCUGGCAAGAAACAGCAUCAAGGUCUGACCUGGAUCAUGAACGCUCAGAGACAGCGGGACUGCACACUGGAGACCGUGGUCAGGGCUGAAGCAGGGGAUGGGCACCGUGCUGUGGACGGUCACCUCGUGCUCUUUACUGUUCUCUGUGAUGUGGAGCGAGUCCGGAGAAAACUGGAGAGAAAGACGACAUUAAAAAACAUCCGGUGCUGCUAACCUGUGGACAUGCUGAGUGACAGGAAUGCAGCCUCACGAGCCAAGUGUGCGCAAUCUUCUGAUUCAAAAAGGC